ensembl:lincRNA
GCACGCUGGGCGCAGCGGCCUGGGCAUCACGGAGGGAAGCAGCCUCCCGCGGGCCAGGGGGCGAGGAGGGGCCAGCGGGCCCGCAUCCUCGGCUAUGCAAGCGGCCGCCUGCGGCUCCCGCCCCGGCAGAGGUCCCGGGUCCCCCGUCUGCUCCCAAACACAGGCGCAGCGGCUCCGCGUUGACCCACUUUCCCUCCAGCCGCGGAGCCGGGGGCGGGGAAUCCACGCGGCCGCAGAGCAGGAGAUCCUGAUAAGGAAUAUGGAACUAAUAAGCCACCAUGAACCGGAAAAGUUCAGGAAAGGUCUAAAGGAGACACUGCGUGUCUGUCCACUUCCAAGAAUCCCUCUCGCUAGCAUCCAUCUUGGCUGAGCGAUGCGUGCACCACCAGGAAAGACUCUGAAUUAGAAUGAUUGGCCAAAGACCACCCAGAAACUAAUCCCACCACCAUAAAACCCAAGACUGUGAGCCACAUGGCAGAGCAGUUCUCCUGGGUUCCCUUACCCUACUGCUCUCCACCCGGGUACCCUUUCCCAAUAAAAUCUCUUGCUUUGUCAGCACGUGUGUCUCCUUGGACAAUUCAUUUCUGAGUGUUAGACAAGAGCCCAGUUUCAGGCCCUGGAAGGGGUCCCCCUUCCUGCAACAUAUUGACCCCCUUUCUCCCACCUCACUCCCACUUCAGGUAACCACUGUUCAU